AGUUUUUUUUUGACCCAAGUCUAGGUCGGUUGCUGUUGUCAGCGACAGCUACUCUAGACUUUCCUUCUCAACUCUUACUCAAUACGUCCGCGACGUACUGAACGGUAGCUUGUCGCCUAAAUAUCCAAGCUUGGGUACACGGGGAAACCCACCUUGGGCGGGUUGGGCGGCAAGGCCGAAUUGAGCGGG
rnacentral:ribozyme from 1 species